UGGCGGCGUGCCUAACACAUGCAAGUCGAACGGAAUUGAGGAGCUUGCUCUUCAAUUUAGUGGCGCACGGGUGAGUAACGCGUAGAUAAUCUGCCUGAUGAUUUGGGAUAACACUUCGAAAGAGGUGCUAAUACCGGAUAAGCCCACGGAGUCUUUGGACACUGCGGGAAAAGGGGGGGACCUUCGGGCCUUCUGUCAUCAGAUGAGUCUGCGUACCAUUAGCUAGUUGGUAGGGUAAUGGCCUACCAAGGCUACGAUGGUUAGCUGGUUUGAGAGAACGAUCAGCCACACUGGAACUGAGACACGGUCCAGACUCCUACGGGAGGCAGCAGUGGGGAAUUUUGCGCAAUGGGCGAAAGCCUGACGCAGCAACGCCGCGUGAGUGAUGAAGGCUUUCGGGUCGUAAAGCUCUGUCGAGGGGAAAGAAAUGUAUUUGGGCUAAUACCCUUUAUACUUGACGGUACCCCUAAAGGAAGCACCGGCUAACUCCGUGCCAGCAGCCGCGGUAAUACGGGGGGUGCAAGCGUUGUUCGGAAUUAUUGGGCGUAAAGCGCGUGUAGGCGGUCUGAUUAGUCUGAUGUGAAAGCCCUGGGCUCAACCCAGGAAGUGCAUUGGAUACUGUCAGACUUGAAUACGGGAGAGGGUAGUGGAAUUCCUAGUGUAGGAGUGAAAUCCGUAGAUAUUAGGAGGAACACCGGUGGCGAAAGCGGCUACCUGGACCGAUAUUGACGCUGAGACGCGAAAGCGUGGGUAGCAAACAGGAUUAGAUACCCUGGUAGUCCACGCCGUAAACGAUGAGUACUAGUGUUGCGGGUAUUGACCCCUGCAG
rnacentral:rRNA from 1 species